rnacentral:rRNA from 1 species
AGGGGAGUGAAAAAGAACCUGAAACCGUGUACGUACAAGCAGUGGGAGCCCCACCACCAAAGCAUUCUCUGGUGUUGAAGGCCCUGCAAAGCAGCAUCGCGGUGGCGGAGCGUCGUUUGCGACGCCCAACACACAAAACAAGCGGUGAAUGCUUUGGGGUGGGGUGACUGCGUACCUUUUGUAUAAUGGGUCAGCGACUUAUAUUCUGUAGCA